rnacentral:rRNA from 1 species
GAGGGGGGUGCAAGCGUUAUUCGGAAUCAUUGGGCGUAAAGGGUGCGUAGACGGCACAUUAAGUCAGUUGUUAAAUUUUCCGGCCUAACCGGAAGUAUGCGAUUGAAACUGGUGAGCUAGAGGUUGGAAGAGAGAAGUGGAAUUCUCGGAGUAGCGGUAAAAUGCGUAGAUCUCGAGAGGAACACCGAUGGCGAAGGCAGCUUCUUGGUCCAUACCUGACGUUGAGGCACGAAAGCGUGGGGAGCAAACAGGAUUAGAUACCCUGGUAGUCCACGCCGUAAACGAUGAUCACUAGACGUUAGUUCUGUUUUACAGGAUUAGUGUCGUAGCUAACGCGGUAAGUGAUCCGCCUGGGGACUACGGUCGCAAGAUUA